rnacentral:tRNA from 1 species
GGGAAUGUAGCUCAGUGGCAGAGCAUCUGCCUGGCAAACACAAGGUCCUGAGUUCAAUCCCUGGUACCCA